rnacentral:lncRNA from 1 species
UCAGCCCUGAGAAUUCUAGAUUUAGUUGAAUACAUGCUGCAUUCUGAGAGUUUUUGUGAUCUUUUCUGAAAUCUACCAACUGACAGUUCCCUUUCAUCACUACAAUAUGGUUGUGGGAUUGGUCAGUUAGGAGACCUGAUGAAAGCCUCUGUUGGCAGUGUUAACCCAUAGUAACAUUUUAGCAUGAAGAAUUUAUACCAAGAUCUCUACAAUACUAUAGUCAAGCAUAACAACAUGUAUACUCAAUUGAAUGAUACACAUUACUAUGUCAGACUAUGUACUUGUCAAUAAACAGUUUUAAUGGUGAAUGAGAAAUAAGCUCUAAAGUGAACAGAAAACCAUUGAAUAAAUUCAGCAUUUGGGUGGUUGAUGAUAGCUCUCAUUAACCUGUAUUUCAGAGGCAAAGACUCUUUUAUAAGACUUAAUUUUUGUUUUUCUCCGAAGUACGAAUGCUGGACAUGUACUAGUAUCUUAGAAAAAAAAAAAAAUCAAAUCUAUAACCCACCCAAUACCAUUCUAAAGCUCUUGCUAUGUGUCGGGCUUUCUUCUAAAUAUGUUAGAUGUAUUAUCUCAGUUAAUCCUCACAACACUCAGCGAAGUAGAUAUAAUUAUAACCAUAUAAUUAAUUUCUGGUGUGUAACACAGUAAUUCAACAAUUAUAUGCAUUAUAAAAUGCUCACCAUAGUAAGUGUUAGUUACCAUCUAUCACCAUUACAAUUUUAUCGACUAUAUUCCCUAUGCUGUACUUUUCAUCCCUAUGGCUUUUUAUUUUACAACUAGAAGUUUGUAUCUCUCAAUCCCUUUCACCUAUUUUACUUAUCCCCCCUCUGGCUGAAUGACAAGACUUCAUUGACUAAUAUUUCAUUGUACAGGUAUAUGUCACACCUUCUUAAUCCAUUCAUCUAUCAAAGGACACUUGGGUUGCUUCCAUAUUUUGGUGUUGUAAAUAAUUCUGCAAUAAACAUUGGAGUGCAUAUGUCUUUUUGAGUUAGUGUUUCUGAGGUGUUUUGGGUAAAUGCCUACUAUAAUUGCUGGCUUAUAUGGUAUUUCUAUUUUUAAUUAUCUGAGGGACCUCCAUAGUGCUUUCCACAUGGCUAUACCAAUUUAUACUCUAAGACAUUUGUUACUUUUUGUCUUUUUGAUACCAGUCAUUCUGACUGGUAUGAGGUGAAACCUCACCAUAGUUUUGAUUUGCAUUUCCCUGAUGAAUGCUAAUAUUGAACAUCUCUUCAUGAGUCUGUUGGCCAUCUGUAUGUCUUCUUUGAAAGAGUGUCUCUUCAGGUCUUCUGCCAAUUUCUUAAUCGGAUUAUUUUGCUUUUGAUGUUGAGUUGUAGGAGUUCUUUAUAUAUUUUGGAUAUUAACCCCCUAUUGGAUAUAUCAUUUUCAAAUAUCUUCUUUCAUUCAGUAGGUUGCUUUUUCAUUUUAUUGAUGCUUUCCUUUGCUGUGCAGAAGCUUUUUAGUUUGGUAUAGUCCCAAGUGUUUAUCUCUCCUUUGGUUUUCCUUGCCCAGAGAAAU